rnacentral:rRNA from 1 species
UACGGGGGGAGCAAGCGUUGUUCGGAUUUACUGGGCGUAAAGGGCGCGUAGGCGGCCACCGCAAGUCGAUUGUGAAAUCUCCGGGCUUAACCCGGAAAGGUCAACCGAUACUGCGGGGCUAGAGUGCAGAAGGGGCAACUGGAAUUCUCGGUGUAGCGGUGAAAUGCGUAGAUAUCAAGAGGAACACCUGCGGCGAAGGCGGGUUGCUGGGCCGACACUGACGCUGAGGCGCGAAAGCCAGGGGAGCGAACGGG